GAGAGAGACAGCGAUACUUAUAGGUAAGCAACGCAUACUUGUGAACGCGCGAAAUUAACAAUUAAAAAUAGGUAUAAAUAAUAAAAUUUCUAGAAAUCGCAAUCAAGGAUAUUGUUAACUAUUGUCUGAGAAAAAAAAAAAAUAUAUUAUUUAUAUAUUUUUUUUUUUUUUCAUAUAUUUUUCAUGGGUCUAAAGUACCCAAAUUAAAGAUUUUUCGAACCUUUAAAAAUUCAUAUCUCUAAAAGUAUUAACUUGAUCGUGUAAAGCUAUAGGACCUUUAUUAAUUGUAUCUUAACAAAGAAUACAAAAAAAAUUUGUCCGGUUGAAAAAUAACAACUCCUUGCAAUUUUUUAAACAAUUUCGGUUUAAACAAUAUGGCACGGGGUUGCCCCCUGGCAACAUGCAUUUAUAUCAUCAGUAGGGUAAUUUGAAGAGAAUCGCAUAAAAAAAUUGAGGUGGAAUAGUUUUUGGUACUCAUGCGCCGAUUCCUCCUGGACUAUUUUCCAAAAAAGAGAAAUGUGGUCGCGAUACGCGGUAAAGCUCGCGCAUGCACAGAAUUGAAAUCGGCCGAAAUUGACGCCUCAUAGUGGUACGUGGUACCAACUGUAUUUUCGCCUGGGUCAUUCUGGCGAAUGACGCUACAGUUUCGCGAAGGGGCGGCGUCAAAUAUUGAGUUGGUAGCACUGAAGCGAAUUCGCAUCGCGCAGCCGACGCCGUAUAACACCAACCGAUUUCGUUAUUGUUGAACGAACUGCGAAGAUGAGAGAUUCAAACGAACGCGACAACCGUCGCAGCUACGCCGAGGUGGUGGCCCCACCCGGCGUAGUAGUGCCAUAGGCAGCGCCGCCACCCGCGGCAACGCAGCCACCCGCCGCACCAAACAUGGCGAAGAUUGCGGCAGAGUUAGCCGCGCUGAGGGCUGCGGUGGCAACCCUCACUCAUAUAUAGAGGCCUCCACUGCAGCCCCAGCAGGCACCGGCACCAGCGGCGGCACCAGCGGCCGCACCGGCGGCGGCGCCAGCGGCCGCACCGGCGGCGGCACCAGCGGCGGGGCAGCGCCGCAAUAAGAAACGAAGGAGGGGGCGCCGAGGGGGCGGUGGAUCGGUUGUGCAAUAUUAUUACCGAUGACCAUUAAAAGAAUGAAAAUAUAAAUAUUGCUUGUAUUCGUUUUUUUCCUGCCACCAUCUGCCACCAUAAAUAUAGUACGAUAGUAGUUCAUGGUAGUUCCAUGUAGUCCUACAAUAUAUCUAUGGUCCUAACAUAUCUGACGUCUGUUUUAUGAAUACCAUAUUAAUUGUUCAUUUGAAAAUAUUUAACAUUAGUAGUUUGAGCCAUUGAAAAUCCUAUAGCAAUUUCCAAAUUAGCAGUCUCCAGAGAU